GGGGGUGUGGCUCAGUUGGGAGAGCGCCUGCUUCGCAUGCAGGAGGCCAGGGGUUCGAAUCCCCUCAUCUCCACCA
rnacentral:tRNA from 1 species